GUCAAGUGAAGAAGCGCAUACGGUGGAUGCCUUGGCAGUCAGAGGCGAUGAAAGACGUGGUAGCCUGCGAAAAGCUUCGGGGAGUCGGCAAACAGACUUUGAUCCGGAGAUCUCUGAAUGGGGGAACCCACCUAGGAUAACCUAGGUAUCUUGUACUGAAUCCAUAGGUGCAAGAGGCGAACCAGGGGAACUGAAACAUCUAAGUACCCUGAGGAAAAGAAAUCAACCGAGAUUCCCUUAGUAGUGGCGAGCGAACGGGGAUUAGCCCUUAAGCUUCAUUGAUUUUAGCGGAACGCUCUGGAAAGUGCGGCCAUAGUGGGUGAUAGCCCCGUACGCGAAAGGAUCUUUGAAGUGAAAUCGAGUAGGACGGAGCACGAGAAACUUUGUCUGAACAUGGGGGGACCAUCCUCCAAGGCUAAAUACUACUGACUGACCGAUAGUGAACCAGUACCGUGAGGGAAAGGCGAAAAGAACCCCGGAGAGGGGAGUGAAAUAGAACCUGAAACCGUAUGCGUACAAGCAGUGGGAGCCUACUUGUUAGGUGACUGCGUACCUUUUGUAUAAUGGGUCAGCGACUUAUAUUCAGUGGCAAGCUUAACCGUAUAGGGUAGGCGUAGCGAAAGCGAGUCUUAAUAGGGCGUUUAGUCGCUGGGUAUAGACCCGAAACCGGGCGAUCUAUCCAUGAGCAGGUUGAAGGUUAGGUAACACUGACUGGAGGACCGAACCCACUCCCGUUGAAAAGGUAGGGGAUGACUUGUGGAUCGGAGUGAAAGGCUAAUCAAGCUCGGAGAUAGCUGGUUCUCCUCGAAAGCUAUUUAGGUAGCGCCUCAUGUAUCACUCUGGGGGGUAGAGCACUGUUUCGGCUAGGGGGUCAUCCCGACUUACCAAACCGAUGCAAACUCCGAAUACCCAGAAGUGCCGAGCAUGGGAGACACACGGCGGGUGCUAACGUCCGUCGUGAAAAGGGAAACAACCCAGACCGCCAGCUAAGGUCCCAAAGUUGUGGUUAAGUGGUAAACGAUGUGGGAAGGCUUAGACAGCUAGGAGGUUGGCUUAGAAGCAGCCACCCUUUAAAGAAAGCGUAAUAGCUCACUAGUCGAGUCGGCCUGCGCGGAAGAUGUAACGGGGCUCAAACCACACACCGAAGCUGCGGGUGUCACGUAAGUGACGCGGUAGAGGAGCGUUCUGUAAGCCUGUGAAGGUGAGUUGAGAAGCUUGCUGGAGGUAUCAGAAGUGCGAAUGCUGACAUGAGUAACGACAAUGGGUGUGAAAAACACCCACGCCGAAAGACCAAGGGUUCCUGCGCAACGUUAAUCGACGCAGGGUUAGUCGGUUCCUAAGGCGAGGCUGAAAAGCGUAGUCGAUGGGAAACAGGUUAAUAUUCCUGUACUUCUGGUUACUGCGAUGGAGGGACGGAGAAGGCUAGGCCAGCUUGGCGUUGGUUGUCCAAGUUUAAGGUGGUAGGCUGAAAUCUUAGGUAAAUCCGGGGUUUCAAGGCCGAGAGCUGAUGACGAGUCGUCUUUUAGAUGACGAAGUGGUUGAUGCCAUGCUUCCAAGAAAAGCUUCUAAGCUUCAGGUAACCAGGAACCGUACCCCAAACCGACACAGGUGGUCGGGUAGAGAAUACCAAGGCGCUUGAGAGAACUCGGGUGAAGGAACUAGGCAAAAUGGCACCGUAACUUCGGGAGAAGGUGCGCCGGCUAGGGUGAAGGAUUUACUCCGUAAGCUCUGGCUGGUCGAAGAUACCAGGCCGCUGCGACUGUUUAUUAAAAACACAGCACUCUGCAAACACGAAAGUGGACGUAUAGGGUGUGACGCCUGCCCGGUGCCGGAAGGUUAAUUGAUGGGGUUAGCGCAAGCGAAGCUCUUGAUCGAAGCCCCGGUAAACGGCGGCCGUAACUAUAACGGUCCUAAGGUAGCGAAAUUCCUUGUCGGGUAAGUUCCGACCUGCACGAAUGGCGUAACGAUGGCGGCGCUGUCUCCACCCGAGACUCAGUGAAAUUGAAAUCGCUGUGAAGAUGCAGUGUAUCCGCGGCUAGACGGAAAGACCCCGUGAACCUUUACUGUAGCUUUGCACUGGACUUUGAGCCUGCUUGUGUAGGAUAGGUGGGAGGCUUUGAAGCGUGGACGCCAGUUCGCGUGGAGCCAUCCUUGAAAUACCACCCUGGCAUGCUUGAGGUUCUAACUCUGGUCCGUAAUCCGGAUCGAGGACAGUGUAUGGUGGGCAGUUUGACUGGGGCGGUCUCCUCCUAAAGAGUAACGGAGGAGUACGAAGGUGCGCUCAGACCGGUCGGAAAUCGGUCGCAGAGUAUAAAGGCAAAAGCGCGCUUGACUGCGAGACAGACACGUCGAGCAGGUACGAAAGUAGGUCUUAGUGAUCCGGUGGUUCUGUAUGGAAGGGCCAUCGCUCAACGGAUAAAAGGUACUCCGGGGAUAACAGGCUGAUACCGCCCAAGAGUUCAUAUCGACGGCGGUGUUUGGCACCUCGAUGUCGGCUCAUCACAUCCUGGGGCUGAAGCCGGUCCCAAGGGUAUGGCUGUUCGCCAUUUAAAGUGGUACGCGAGCUGGGUUUAGAACGUCGUGAGACAGUUCGGUCCCUAUCUGCCGUGGACGUUUGAGAUUUGAGAGGGGCUGCUCCUAGUACGAGAGGACCGGAGUGGACGAACCUCUGGUGUUCCGGUUGUCACGCCAGUGGCAUUGCCGGGUAGCUAUGUUCGGAAAAGAUAACCGCUGAAAGCAUCUAAGCGGGAAACUUGCCUCAAGAUGAGAUCUCACUGGGAACUUGAUUCCCCUGAAGGGCCGUCGAAGACUACGACGUUGAUAGGCUGGGUGUGUAAGCGUUGUGAGGCGUUGAGCUAACCAGUACUAAUUGCCCGUGAGGCUUGACCAUA
rnacentral:rRNA from 2 species